GAAAUGAAUGGAAUCGCAUGCUUCUGUUCUGUGUUCAAGAGCUUCGAUGGCUACUGUGUUACAUCAGGAACGGCCAGUGCCUGGACCCCACCCUCCCCCACUCCCUUUUAAUUCAAUGGCUACGUGGGGGCUUCUUUGAUGGAGGCUUUGAAGUCGGUGGCUUUGAGAUUACUCUUCCUCUGUGACCUUGACCACCAGCCAUGAGCGCUUCUCCGACAAGCGAGACGUGGAUUCCUGGGAUACUCAGAGUGCACGUGUGUAAUCUCAGAGCUCCUGUGGAAAGGUGGAGAUCUCUCUGUCAUUGACUUCAACAUACAGACGGGAGCACAGUUGUCAUCUGAGAGGCUUCAUCCAAA